GCGAUGAUGGUUUAAGGGUAAAAUCCAGGCUUCCCAUACUCGAUAGAGCUUGCCUGGGCUCCGGGUUCGAGUCCCGGUCAUCGCA